rnacentral:rRNA from 1 species
UACGAAGGGGGCUAGCGUUGUUCGGAUUUACUGGGCGUAAAGCGCACGUAGGCGGCUUUUUAAGUCAGGGGUGAAAUCCUGGAGCUCAACUCCAGAACUGCCUUUGAUACUGAAGAUCUUGAGUUCGGGAGAGGUGAGUGGAACUGCGAGUGUAGAGGUGAAAUUCGUAGAUAUUCGCAAGAACACCAGUGGCGAAGGCGGCUCACUGGCCCGAUACUGACGCUGAGGCACGAAAGCGUGGGGAGCAAACAGGG